rnacentral:tRNA from 1 species
GCCGGCGUAGCAUAACCUGGUAGUGCGCGGGUCUGAACAACCUGAUGCCAGAAAUGGCUGUCUGGGUUCAAACCUCAUGCACACACGUUGUGUGUAUGGGUGACUCUCCCAGCGCCGGCG